AUGAAUCAUGGCACAGGAUCGAAUGUCACAUCUUUACUACAUAACAUGAGUUCUAUACAAAAUAAUUAAGUAUUUACAUUAUAAGGAGACAACGGUCCAGCAACCCAAAGUUGACUGGGAGACGACGGCCUAGACCACUCACGAACUCAUCACAGCAUCCUUCACGCGCCUCAUCCUGCGGUACCUGGUCUUGACCUGUGGUGUAUGUGAGACAGCAAGAGUGAGCUCACAUACGUUCAUCGCUCAACAAGUUGUGGGGAAUAAUGUGCAUGAACUCGCCAAAGGUGGGAGCUCACGUGAAGUGUAAGGCUUACCAAAGAAGAUGGUUAGAGCUGAGCAUUGCUUUUAAAGUUGGUCAAAAUUUUAUUAGCAGUUACUAAGUAUAAGUAAAUACCAAACCCAAUUAAGUAGUAGAACAAAAAUAACAACUUCACCCGCGAUGCAAUGCAUAUGACAAAUUGAAUUUAGUUCCAUAAUUUAAUCAUCAGAGAGUCCUGAGCUGCUCAUGACCGUGAGCUCGGCUAGUAUACCAGUUUUACACUCUGCAGAGGUGGUACCCUUUACCCACAAGUCAUGUUACCCAUCUGCCAAGAGAUCGCGACUUCCCAUACACCUCUACCGAGGAGGCGAGGCAGGGUAACACUACGAGGCCUUUACAAAGUUCCACUAGCUUCAGAAAACCCGCUACAGUUUAUAGGAAGCUCCAAUGCAGGAAUCCCUUGCAGGACCGCCAUCGCAGCAAAAUCCUCCCGAGGGCCUCCCUACACUGACCACUCCCCUACUGCCCUUGCCCCUUUCGGGUAAGGUAGUCCUCCACUAGCUUUCCUAAUUAGUCAGCCAAGGGCGUCCCAUUAAACCCUUGUGGUGGCACGUGGUUCUCAAGUUAAGCUCUAUGUUCCAAUUAACAUUUAAUGAUCUUGUCAUGAACAUAAAUAGAAUAACAACAUAAUUGGAACAUAGAUGUAAUGAAAUAUUAACCCAAAACCAUAUAAAGCAGUAGCAGAACUACCCAAGUGAUUCAGGGGUAAACAAGGUAUUCAGGACGAACAAACUAGGGUGACCUAUUGGGUCCCAUCAAAAUUAACCUAUGUAGAUCAUUAUGAUUAAUCAGAACAUGAGUGGGUAAAAGAAGUGAUCAAGGGCACAACUUGCCUGGGACUUGAGAUUCCAGGUACCAGGAUGAUCUUCAGGUGACUCGUAAUCUCGCGCUAGUCGUAGCAACACAAACAAGCAUGGUAUAGACAAAAUUAACAUCACACCAAACAUAAGAAUAAACUGUGUAUUAAUAUCCUACGUUGUAUAACGAGAUCGUGAGUACAAGAAUUACUAAAUUCGGAGUUACGGGUACCAAGUUAUGAAUUUCUGGAAUUAUUAGGUACUUGGAAUAGCAUAACUCAUGUGGAUAAUUUUAGUUCAAGUUUCAUGGCUAAACAAUGUUAUGGUUGGUAGAAAAUACUAAUACAAAAUUAAUGUCACUGGAAUGGACCCAAAAGGGUUUAAUAUGAAUUUUCUAUGAAUUUUACAAGUUUCUAGAAUUAUUUUUGUAUUAAAAAUCAUUUUCUACAAUUAAUUUCCUAUUUUUACUGUUCUCUGGACUGGGCGUCAAAAACAGAGGAACGCAGGGGCUCUAGCGUAAGUUUUCUAAGACUAAGAGAAUAGUGCAAUUGGACGGCGGGUUAAUUCAUCGAAAUCCGAGGGGCUCGUUUAGAAAAUGACCACGGCAAAGGGGUAAGAUGGAAUCUGAGCCGCCCGAUCCAGAACCGAGGACCCAGAUUAAAAGCCCGCUACGACGAACCGGUACGUAUUGUGUGCCGUUCGAUCAGGGACCAACGCCCAGGAUUUAAAUAGCCGAGAGAGAAUCUCGUACAUCCGAUCGGAUCCAACGGUCAGACUCUGACACAUGAAGGGGGUACGCGAAGCACGAUCACAUCCAUCCAUAGCCGAAUCAACGGUCCACCCAUCGCCUCCUUCCUCCGCCAAAAACCGAGCACGGCGGCGGCGUCGGUCAGCCCGCACGGUGGCGCAUCAACGGCGCACACCCAAAUCCAAGCCUCUGAUGCACGAGUUCCUAAGGCAACGAGCUCUAUGCGUAGCAGGGACAAGAGUGAACGUUGAAGAGGGUUACUUACCCAGAUUAAUGAAGCGAAGCCGGUCGACCACAGCCGGGGCGGAUACGCGGCUCCGGCUGCCGAGCUCCACAGAUGGCAAGGCCAGGCGCGUGCGGCCAUAGAGCACGCGGGGGCACCUUGCACUUGGGUUCGAGAGAGUACACAGGGAAGGUUGGAGGCUCGCCCAUGGAGGGAGCCCCGCCCGGCCUCCAAGGAAGAGGAGCAGGGGCGAUGGUUGCCGAGCGCCAUGGAUGGGCAGAAGGAGAGGAGGUCACGCGUCCUAGAUAUAUGGCCUCGAGCCCCAGGGAUCCGCGAUAACCGGUUAUGGUUGGCCGUGGAACUCACGCGAAGACCGCCGAUGGCUCAGGCACGCGCGGGAUUUCCGGCCGGGUUGUUGGAACGACUAGCGACAUCCACUGAUCCACGCGGACUCCUGGGUUUAGUUCAUGCGAACGCGAGGGGAAAGGGACGAUUCCGACCGCGGAGAAGAAGUGCCUGACGAUGCGGGCCCAAUCGUCAGUCAGCGAUUAGAGUACCUAGCGCACGCGGUGAGGAGCCGGCCAGUGGGGCAUCGUUGUCAGUGGCAGGGCGAGUGGCGGGCUGGUGAGGGGAGGGGAGAGUGGGCCGAAUUGUGCAGAAUUGGCCCAGGCGCGGUUUCUCUAUUUUUUUUUUCUUUUAUCUUUUCUGUUUUCUUUUCAAAUUCAGUUUAAAUUCAAACAUGUUUUGAACUUCAACUUUUCAAGUGUCACAAUAAUUCCUAAUAUAAAAUCUAUUGUUUACAAUAUUUUUUUUCCUAUUCUUUCCCUUGUCAUCUAUUUACCAAAGGAAUAAAUGGUUCCAUAAAUUGUUUUCUUUCUCAUUUAGAAAAAUAGUACUUUGAAUGUGGAAUGAGAAGUAAAAGUUACUUCAAAAUUAGAUAUUCAUAUAAAUAAAUGCUUAUGGUGCAUCAUUUAAUGAUAUGCACAAUUAUUUAGUUGAAUAGAAACCUUUCUAUAUUUUAUAAAUUACUUCUCAGUUUCAAAAUUCAGUCCACAACAUUCAUUACUCAAGUAUAAGUUGAGAUAUUUGAACUUACUAUUUUAUUUAUAUAUUUAUUUAUUGUCUUAUGCAAAUUUUGGGCUUUACAAAUCCUACCCCCCUUAAAAAUAAUCUCGUCCUCGAGAUUAGUAAGCAGAAGGGUUAUACCGAGGUUGGUUUAUAAUUGAGAUUGUAGUUUCUAAUGGAUUCAAAAAUUAAGAGUCUCUCUCUUUCUCUUUUUAAAAUACUAUUUAGCAAGUACUUAGAAAUGCAUGGGUAUCUUCUAUGUUUAGACACACAGGUAAGAAGAGAGAUGGUCAGAGUGAGGGUAGCUGAUGGUAAGAAGAACUUGGUAAGGGAAGACUCCGUCCAAGGUGGUAAAUUUGAAUCAUCUCGAGAUCUGAUUUGACUCCUAUUCUUCCAUGUCGAGGUUGAUCUCCUCCUUCUUGCUCUUUGGUGUCUCCAUCCGGGGUUGGGACAAGAGGUUAAGAUAGAUCUAUUAUGUAGGUCAAGUUGUUGGGUAUGGCCGAGUUGAUCUAGGAUCUCAAACUUGUUUAUAGGAGCAGGGUCUAAUGUAUUUCACCAGGAUUAACUAACUUCUUAGGUCACUCUCUUUAAAUUGGAUCAUAGUAGAUUAGAUGGGAUCUAGAUUAGAUUGGUAUGACUAGCUUGACUAGAUAAGAUCUAAUUAAUUUGCAUUAGAUCAUGGUUGUUAAACUAGGGUGGAUAAGUAUGCUUAUUAGGAUAAGAUGGAUCCAUAAAGAUAAGAUGGAAUCUUUUGAGGUUAGUAAGAUCUAUUAGGAUAUGAUAGAAUCUUUUCGGGAUAAGAUGGAUCUAUUAAGAUGAGAUAGAUCUUUUAAGAUAAGGUGGAUCUAUUAAGCUAGAUACAUUUUUAAUGAGGGACAAUCUAAGUUUGAUUAGUUAUAUAUAUGCCUAAGUAUAUGUAGAUGCAAUUGUGGACACUACUCCACAACUCAUCCCACUCAAUCAACGAUCCAAAUCAGACAAGUAUCAUAAUAACAAACAUUCAAGCACAUAGAUAAAAAUAGUUUUGUUUUUGUCCCUAAGAUUAGGUCUCCUAUUCCUAAAGUCACUUUAGGUUAAGGAUUUCAAAGUGUGAAAUCCACAUUUGUCUUUAGAAGUGAAAAGGUAAGAGUAAUCAGAGUAAAGCAGCAGUAUAUGGGGAAAAGAUUAAGGGAAGUUUAGAAAGAAUCAGAGCAGCAAAGGUAAGUAAGUAAGGGUUGUCCAUUUCUAUCUAGGUUUCGUCCUACAGUCAACAUUCCUCUGAUACCACUUCUGUAACACCCGGGUUUUAGGGGUCCAAAGCCCGGGCGUAAACAUAAUCACCAGGUGUGCUGGGACCAAGUCUCACACAUAUGAUGAAUCAUGGCACAGGAUCGAAUGUCACAUCUUUACUACAUAACAUGAGUUCUAUACAAAAUAAUUAAGUAUUUACAUUAUAAGGAGACAACGGUCCAGCAACCCAAAGUUGACUGGGAGACGACGGCCUAGACCACUCACGAACUCAUCACAGCAUCCUUCACGCGCCUCAUCCUGCGGUACCUGGUCUUGACCUGUGGUGUAUGUGAGACAGCAAGAGUGAGCUCACAUACGUUCAUCGCUCAACAAGUUGUGGGGAAUAAUGUGCAUGAACUCGCCAAAGGUGGGAGCUCACGUGAAGUGUAAGGCUUACCAAAGAAGAUGGUUAGAGCUGAGCAUUGCUUUUAAAGUUGGUCAAAAUUUUAUUAGCAGUUACUAAGUAUAAGUAAAUACCAAACCCAAUUAAGUAGUAGAACAAAAAUAACAACUUCACCCGCGAUGCAAUGCAUAUGACAAAUUGAAUUUAGUUCCAUAAUUUAAUCAUCAGAGAGUCCUGAGCUGCUCAUGACCGUGAGCUCGGCUAGUAUACCAGUUUUACACUCUGCAGAGGUGGUACCCUUUACCCACAAGUCAUGUUACCCAUCUGCCAAGAGAUCGCGACUUCCCAUACACCUCUACCGAGGAGGCGAGGCAGGGUAACACUACGAGGCCUUUACAAAGUUCCACUAGCUUCAGAAAACCCGCUACAGUUUAUAGGAAGCUCCAAUGCAGGAAUCCCUUGCAGGACCGCCAUCGCAGCAAAAUCCUCCCGAGGGCCUCCCUACACUGACCACUCCCCUACUGCCCUUGCCCCUUUCGGGUAAGGUAGUCCUCCACUAGCUUUCCUAAUUAGUCAGCCAAGGGCGUCCCAUUAAACCCUUGUGGUGGCACGUGGUUCUCAAGUUAAGCUCUAUGUUCCAAUUAACAUUUAAUGAUCUUGUCAUGAACAUAAAUAGAAUAACAACAUAAUUGGAACAUAGAUGUAAUGAAAUAUUAACCCAAAACCAUAUAAAGCAGUAGCAGAACUACCCAAGUGAUUCAGGGGUAAACAAGGUAUUCAGGACGAACAAACUAGGGUGACCUAUUGGGUCCCAUCAAAAUUAACCUAUGUAGAUCAUUAUGAUUAAUCAGAACAUGAGUGGGUAAAAGAAGUGAUCAAGGGCACAACUUGCCUGGGACUUGAGAUUCCAGGUACCAGGAUGAUCUUCAGGUGACUCGUAAUCUCGCGCUAGUCGUAGCAACACAAACAAGCAUGGUAUAGACAAAAUUAACAUCACACCAAACAUAAGAAUAAACUGUGUAUUAAUAUCCUACGUUGUAUAACGAGAUCGUGAGUACAAGAAUUACUAAAUUCGGAGUUACGGGUACCAAGUUAUGAAUUUCUGGAAUUAUUAGGUACUUGGAAUAGCAUAACUCAUGUGGAUAAUUUUAGUUCAAGUUUCAUGGCUAAACAAUGUUAUGGUUGGUAGAAAAUACUAAUACAAAAUUAAUGUCACUGGAAUGGACCCAAAAGGGUUUAAUAUGAAUUUUCUAUGAAUUUUACAAGUUUCUAGAAUUAUUUUUGUAUUAAAAAUCAUUUUCUACAAUUAAUUUCCUAUUUUUACUGUUCUCUGGACUGGGCGUCAAAAACAGAGGAACGCAGGGGCUCUAGCGUAAGUUUUCUAAGACUAAGAGAAUAGUGCAAUUGGACGGCGGGUUAAUUCAUCGAAAUCCGAGGGGCUCGUUUAGAAAAUGACCACGGCAAAGGGGUAAGAUGGAAUCUGAGCCGCCCGAUCCAGAACCGAGGACCCAGGUUAAAAGCCCGCUACGACGAACCGGUACGUAUUGUGUGCCGUUCGAUCAGGGACCAACGCCCAGGAUUUAAAUAGCCGAGAGAGAAUCUCGUACAUCCGAUCGGAUCCAACGGUCAGACUCUGACACAUGAAGGGGGUACGCGAAGCACGAUCACAUCCAUCCAUAGCCGAAUCAACGGUCCACCCAUCGCCUCCUUCCUCCGCCAAAAACCGAGCACGGCGGCGGCGUCGGUCAGCCCGCACGGUGGCGCAUCAACGGCGCACACCCAAAUCCAAGCCUCUGAUGCACGAGUUCCUAAGGCAACGAGCUCUAUGCGUAGCAGGGACAAGAGUGAACGUUGAAGAGGGUUACUUACCCAGAUUAAUGAAGCGAAGCCGGUCGACCACAGCCGGGGCGGAUACGCGGCUCCGGCUGCCGAGCUCCACAGAUGGCAAGGCCAGGCGCGUGCGGCCAUAGAGCACGCGGGGGCACCUUGCACUUGGGUUCGAGAGAGUACACAGGGAAGGUUGGAGGCUCGCCCAUGGAGGGAGCCCCGCCCGGCCUCCAAGGAAGAGGAGCAGGGGCGAUGGUUGCCGAGCGCCAUGGAUGGGCAGAAGG
rnacentral:lncRNA from 1 species